AGAGGGUUCCUCAGGGGCUGGGCCGGAGCUCCUGUCUGCAGCAGCAGGUUCAACCCAACCGGCCAGGGAGCACCGAGGAUGACACCACCUCCAGCUGUGACACUAAACACGGGUACCUUUUGUGGCACAACAACAUCCCGCAGCUAAGGAGGUCAGCACUUAAAUCCCUUACAGGCGACAAUGCCCUAUGUCUUGGACCCCAAGGAGUCAAAUGAAAACUGAGCUCAGCUUUGCAGGUACAGCCUUGGCAGACCGCGCGUUCCAGUGCCUCGUUCAAGUCACGGGACUCCUGCAAUUUUCCUGCUCUGUCUCACCAGAUUCCCUCUGAGCAGACAUUGCUGAACAGUCAAAACCAGAGCAAAUGCUUAAAAAGCAAAUGCAAGUCUCUGCAAGGAUGAGGGAACCACUGUGAGAACCUGAGAGGAUGUAGAGGUUUUUCUGCUCAGGAGUCAGCAGCCACCUCCUCUUGCAGAUCACUACAGAGAAUUAACAAUUCUGUAUCUGCCUUCUGCCUCUUGCCUCCAGCUCUCAGCCACUGGGGCUGCGGAUGGAGAAUCUCAUGGACUUUAUUCUGAACACUCUUAAAGAUCAGACCUACAAGAGCUAAACACACCAUUCACCAAGAAAAUCAAACCCAGUUCUCCACUACCCAGAAGGAGAAGGAAACCCCAAUGGUCAGAAAGAAUCCAAAGCUCCUUCCAGAAAGGUUUCCAGAUGACAGAACAGUCCUGACUGCUGGGGACCCUCUUCUUCAAGGUCUCAUAGAAAAGCAGGGUUUGGGUUGAGAGGGACCCAAAGCUCAUCCAGUUCUCCCAUCUCCAGGACCGAUUAGCAUCCCUCUGUCCUGCCCCAGCCACCAACAGCAAGGAUGGAUUCCCAGAUCCACUGCAGAGCAAUUCCCACUGCACCAGAAAUCAGGACCAAACCCAAACCCACCCCAAACCAAACCCAUGUGCACUGGCAGAUGGACUGCUGGGACUGUGGCGAGUUUCAGAGCUUGUCUGGCUGGGUUCACUUAGUGAAGGGCAGUGACUGUAAACCUCUUCAGCAAGAUAAUCCUUCUGCUGAAGAGUAAGAGAUGAAGAGGAGUCCCCUGGACAAAGGGAUAGAAUGUCCUGGGUGAAGGGAGAGAAAAACCCUCAGCAAGUUUUCCCCUCAACGUAAAAAAGACAAGGAGCUACUGAGGAGGAUCCAGCAGAGGCCAUGAGAUGAUGAAGGGCCUGGAGCAUCUCUGAUGAGACACAGCUGAGCCUGGUUAGUCUGGAGAAGGCUCAGAGGGGAUCUCAUCAAUGCACAUAAAUAUCUCCAAGGGUGCCAGACUCUUUUUAUGGUGCUCAGCAACAGGACAAGGAGCAAUAGCCAUAAACUAAAACUCAAGGAUUCUCACCUAGCAUGGGGAAUAGCUGUCCAUGGAGGUGGCAGAGCACUGGAACAGCUGCCCAGGGAGGGUGUGGAGUCUCCUUCUCUGGACAUUCCAAACCCACCUGGAUGCAUUCCCAUGUCCCCUGCUCCAGGUGACCCUUCCUUGGCAGGGGGGGUUGGACUGGGUGAUCUCCAGAGGUCCUUUCCAACCCCAACCAUUCUGUGAAUCUCUUGGAGGCACUGAGAUACUCUCAGCAUUGCUUCUCUGCCCUGUCUCAGAAUAGAGGAUCCCCAGGUUGGAAGAGUCCUCAUACUAAAAUAACUCCAGGAAAAGGCACAGCUUUAAAACUACUUCAGCUGAGGGGAAAAAACAGCAUCAUAAUACUUGUCCCAGCCAACCCCUUUCCAAGCAUGUGAGGUGAUUCAACCCCACAAUGAUUUUCAAGUAUUUCCUUCUGCCUUGCUGGAUCUGGCAGCAUUUUUGCAGCCCAGGGCAGGUAAUUCCCAUCGGCAAACCCGACCUGAGCCCUGGGGCCACCAUCCCUGACACGCUCAUGGCUGUGCUGUGGCUUCCCUCCAGUGGCACAAACAGUCAGCUGCAGCUUCCUGGGAGAGACCUUCCCAGGAGACCAGGCACUGAACUACCCACCAAAAAAUGACAUUUUACUGCUCACUGCUCCCAGCCGCACUCCAAAUAUUUUUCUGUUCAUUUUUACAACAUACCUGUGUUUACAUAACAUUUUUCUGUCAUUUCCCCCCAGUUAUAUUUGAAACAUCCAGGACUUCAUCUGCAUUUU